rnacentral:misc_RNA from 1 species
GUGAGUCAUCGAAUCUUUGAACGCACAUUGCACCCUCUGGUAUUCCGGAGGGUAUGCCUGUUCGAGCGUCAUUUCAACCCUCAAGCAUUGCUUGGUAUUGGAUGCUACUGCAUGCGGUGCAUCUUAAAGGCAUUGGCGACAGCAUUUAGCCUCUAGCGGAGUAAAUUUCUCGCUCUGGGGCCUGGAUAUCUGCCUGCCAGAAUCUCUUAUUUCAAUGGUUGACCUCGGAUCAGGUAGGGAUACCCGCUGAACUUAAGCAUAUCAAUAAGCGGAGGA